UUUAAUUUAUAGAUCUGUAUGGCUCUUGAUGUGUUGUCAUAUGAGGGCUUGCUUGAUUGGGGUAGUUUGUCUUUUUCGUGUAAUUAUAUUUGAAUGAAUUAGAGCACAUUUUUGCCUCUAAAUUUAUUUUUUGUGGUAUUAAUCUUAAACUUUAUGGUUGUCAUUAAGCUGUUGACAUAAAUAAUUUGUUUCUCUAUGUUGUUCAAUCUUCAUUGUGGAUGGUAUUGUUAGGAUUUAUAAGUAGAAAUUCUUGUUGUGCCGUGUUUAAUUCUUUGUGUGAUAUGAUUUUCUUGGGUUCCUUUAUGCAUGUAGAUAUAUUAUGAUUUUUCUGACUUUUGGGGGAACUUGCAUUUUUCAUUUGAACUACUAGUGUUGCCUUGGUUUAUCGAAGGAAAAUAUGGGUGGAGCAAUUUGUUUAGGUUCAGAAAUCACAUUGCCAUGAUGCUUGCAGUGCACGUAAAUUUUUUAAUGUUAAGAUUUAGGAAGCGUGUGAAGAGAAACGCAAAGGUGGAUAGGGGGAGGAGAAAAAGGAUUAGCAUGGAUUUUGUUUGGGUGGAUUUGAUAUAUGAAUUUCUGCUGCAAUGGCUCAUGGCUGUCCAUUUUAUGUGGAAAUUAGAGUUGAUUUUUUCAUGAAUAAGAUCUUAAUUACUAUGAGAUAUGUUGGAUCGGCAAAGUGAGAGUUCUGAGUUACUAGAGGAUAACCUUUAAUGCGUAUUGAACUUUUAUAAAGUUGCUUUGUAUCAAGGAUAAGCACCCCUAUGGAGAGGCUUUCUUUAGAGUAGGUCUUGGUUGAACAAGAAAUUGGUGGAGAAACAGCAUAAUGCUUGAUUCAACACUGCCCUUCGGAGAUUCCUAGGAGUCUUUGCAAAAUAAGUGAAUAUGACGAUGUCUCUCUUUUAAGGGUCAGGAAUUCUUUCAAAUUUCAUGGGGAUCAGGUCAUUAUAUAAGGUGAUCAUGGUUGAGUAAUUAUACAUAUACACUUGUACUUUUGUGUUUGCUGGAUGGCUGUGUUUUUGCUUGAAAGGGUGUCCAGGUAGACUGAACAGCAUUCCAUCUGCCAUUUCUGUUAUUACUAAUCCUUCAAUAUUGUUAUGAGAUUUCCUUUAUGAUUCUAAUUUAAAUACCUUAUUUUUGUCUUAUAAGCGAUACCACCUCUUCUCAAAUAUUACCAUAACUUCUGCACUCAUGUACAAACAUUAUUGGUAUCAUCAAAAUCCACCUCAACAUUCAUAUAACUGCAGUGCUCAUUGUACAUUCAUGGACUCUUUUCAUUGCCUGACAUCUAAUACUCGAGCGUUGCAAGCUUUGUUGGUAUUCCCUCAAGUUUUUAGCACAUGCAAAAGCACUCAUACCUUUGUGACAUCUAUCCACUUCAUCAACCCUGUUGUUGUUCUAAUUGAUAUGCCUUCGCUUGUCUCUACAUUUACCAGUACUUCCAGAGCAGCCAAAAUGAUCACUCAAGAGUCAUCUAUUAACCAUCAUUCUUAAUCAGAUCAAAGCUUUCCUUUAAUUCCCACAAAACUAUAUUCCAUGUACUCUUUUAUAGUUGAUCUAAUUCUUGGAGCCGUAUCCUCUUAGGUUUUUGUUUGCAAUCGAAUCUGGCAUUCAAUAAUAUUCUUAUAUCAGAGAACUUUUUUUUUCCUUCCAUGUACUUAUUCAAUAAUUAUUGGUCUAGUAGUUUUUAGGAUGUGACCAGUCCAAAUGCUUUAUUAAAUCUUCUCGAAAACUAGUUCUCAUGUAGUAUAAACAUAAGACUUGCUUUUCAAUUUAGGGGACUCUGGGUUAUAAGCUCAUAGAACCAAGAUACGCUGUCUCGGUACCGGACCCUGUACCGGUGCCACAUUUUUACUGUAUCGGUAUGGUACAGUACGAAAUUGGUUCGGCAUACUGAGUGUCGGUAUAUCCUCUAUACCACGUACUGGUACCCGAACUGGUAUGGUACAGUACGUCUCGUACUGCUUGAUUCGGUAUAGUACGACGAACCUUGCAUGAAACUAUUUUUAGUGGUCUCAGCUUUGAUAUUGAUGGUCUUUGUUAGGCACUAUUUCUCAUUUUGAAUUUCUUAGACGCUCUUACUGUAAAACAAUCUCUUGAAUAUGUUGAGGCAAUGGGAAAGUAGAGAAUUGUAAUCAUGAUCGCCCAGAGUUGUUGUCUAUAUCUGGGAGUGGCUAUUAUGAUUUUUUUUCUUGCAUUUAUUUUAAUCAAACGCUAAAAAUUCUUUUAACUCCAUAUAGAUACGGAAUGCCAUGGAUAUUUUAGAAGGGGAAGCGUGGCAGCAUAUGAUUUUAUGCUAAUGGUGUUCUUUUCUUUUCUUUUUUGGAUGUUAAAUGGUGUUCUUUUCGUUAAGCUGCAAGGUUUUACCUGUUUUCUAUGUGUAUCUUAUUACCAGAGCAAUCUUCAUUUUCCUCUGUCUCCAGUUUCCCUUUUUACCCUCCUUUCCCACUUUUGUAUUAAAAUACCUUUACAAUUAUUAGGACUUGGAUAUGGAUGUGCUAUUUUUUUUAAAAAAAAUUCCUUUGUAAGGUGAUGAAGAUGUUGAAAUCAGGCUCUGGUUUUUAGGAUUAGAGGAAACUUGUGUUGACAUAGGCUGAUGUUUUUUUUCUUGGUUUGAGUAAAUAGCUACAGGUACUGGCAUAUGGUUUUGUUGGAGGCAAGAUUCGUUGAAUGAGGCCGCAUGGUCUUCAUAAAUCAUGAGUUCCAAAGUACGUGUAAUGACACUCAAGAAAGAAUUCUAGAGAUGACAUGAAAUCUAAGAGAUUCUGGAUUAAUUGUUUAUGUUUUUUAGUACUGCCUUCUGUUUGGAUGGGAAGCAGGCUUAGAAUAUGAUUUCAGAGCACUAGGUAGCAUGUUUGGGCAUAAGUUGACUUUGUUAAUCAGUGUUACUUCCCUAUGAUGGAGCCUUUAAGAGGGUUCAAAAUUAGAGUCAGGCUAUUAUUUUAUAUAUAAUGCAAUGUAAUGAUCUUGAUGCCUUUGUAUUGCAUUAUUGAAAGGAUGUUUGGUUUUCUCAUGCCUGUGUUUUUGUCUAUUGAGAUAUUAUCAGGUUUUCUUUAUAGAGCCAGUUAUUAUUUUUCAUUGGCAAGCAUCUUGGUGGACUUCUAUUAGAGAAGAUGCCCCAUCGUCUGUCCCUUCUUUUCUUAAUGCCCAUGAUGUAGUUAGUUUUGAAGGAGCAUAUAUUUUCAUUGAUAGUUGAAAAAACAUUAGUAAAGAAUGAAGCACAACUCUCUAAAACAAAAAUCUCUAGGGUGACUUUCUUGGACACCAAGUAUAUGAAUAAUUGUUCUCUUAUGGGUCACUAAGAGCGCACGUUGAUGAUGUGUUAGAAACUUUUCAACUGAGUCAAAGCUAAAUCUAUUUCAGCUUUCCAAAAGGUGAACUUAAUAUUCUUUGAGCUCUCACCAAGCCUAGUCAUAUUGACAUGCCAUCAGUCCAGGGUUCAAAAAGUUUAUACACAUUCAUGGUGAAGGCUUCCAAGACAUUUUUGAUAGAAAGGGCUUCCAAGAUGUUGUGCUCUUUUUGGAUACAGAUAAGUUAUGAUUUAUACAAAAAAGGGGGACACAAAAUCCUCCCUCGCCGCCUCUUCAUGUGCAUUUUUUGAGCUUUGCUGUUUCCAGUCAGAGCUAAGAAUCAUGAUCAUGUUCUCAGCUUUCAGGAUGAAAUUUAAAGGGGAACAAAAUAGAUAGCAGAUUCUACUCUCUAGUCUCCACUCACCUCAACUUUGAUUCUUUGAAUUUUGCAGGAGAUCUUAUCAUAAAAACCCAAGAUCUUCUCCACCUUUAAUUUUUAUAGGCAUUGCAAAAAUGUUAUCGGAUAAUUCUGUUGGCAUCUUGAUGCAAGCUAGUUGUAUGUUUUGUUCCAUGACUACUUUUCUAUGCAUACUUAUCGUUGAAAGUGGUGUAGUCUGGAUUUAGUCACUGAAAGUUGUGCUUUAGAGUUUUCUCUGUAUUGUCUUUCCUAUGCUUCUCCUGUGGUACUGUCAAAACCGUGUCAAAACCGUGCUUCAAAGUUUCUCUAUAUUGUAUGUUUUAGUCAUUGAAAGUCUAGGAAGAUAAACCAUUGUGGAGAUUGCUGUUGUUUCUGGCAUAUACUUGAAAGAAUGGUGAAGGUCGAGUUUGCUAAUCUGUUGAAUCUCUUUUUUUCUAAUCUCUAGAAUCUUUAAGCCCCAUCGCAACAAAAAGUUAUCUGAAUUUUCUAAUCUCUUGGAUCUUUCUUUUUCCUGAUCUCUAAAAUCUUCAAGCCCCAUCAAACACAAAUGUUAUCUGAACUCCACUUCACCACUUGCUAAAUUUUAGAUGCUUAUGUAUCUGUAUUCAUCAGGCAACGGGUCAUGCUCGAUCAUCUGCACUCCAUCUCUAAUUGCAGUGCAACAUGCAGACACAACAAUGAGUUUAGAAUAUUUUCAAUUCUGUUGAAACAGUUGAUGACUUUUUUCAAGAGUUCCUUACAUUUAAUUGACAGAGCAAUACAGCUCCUGGAAAAAAAUUGCGCAGUUCUAGAGCUCUAGAAUCAUUCCGAUUUCAGGAAUGGAGAUCGCCAAGGUAAUUUUAGCCAUAACCAUCAAUCAUCAGUCCAAUUGUUUCAAAAAGGCUGCAGAGCUUGUUCACAAGCUAUAGGUAGUUUGUGGUGUUACUGUAAGUCCUUCGAUAUCCUUCUCUUUCGUGCUAUCCUGGGUCUUACUAGCCUGUCAGAAUUUGUUCCACAUUUUAUUGCUAUCUUUCAAUUGAUUCUCUGUUUUCCCUGCCUGCCUUUAAUUCAAGUAACAAUGCAUGAUCAGAACAUCUCAGACGCUCAGACCUCAGCAAUUUUGACGUUUUUUUUCUGGGAGUUAAAACUUAUAUCCCAAUUUGCAGCAGGCUUCUAGCCAUCUAGCUUGUCCUGUGGCUUGUCUGGAUGCUUGAUCGGCAUCAAGACAUGGCUUGCAGCAAGGUGGUGGAAGUGCUCCUCCAUGGUGGUGGCCUUGGCCUUGGCCUUGGCUGGUCAAGAAGUUGGGCGGGGUGGCCACGGCUCUGAAGUCAUUACUGCGCCUCAACCUGGUAUACAGGUGGCCAUGGCUGACGAGUGAUGAGCUUCUCCUAUGGAUGCAUGCUUCUCCAUCCCCUGGGAUUUCGCCUUGCAACUAAUGAGACCCUCUUUAAAAGAGUCAUGAUAAAUCAACCUCUUAGUAGAUAGCCAGGGUUUAUACUUCCCAACUACUGAUAUUGAUUCGUUCCCGGCCCACCGGAGAAGCAAGAAAGCCUGAAUUCAACCUGCCUAUCACUUAAUCCUUUGCAGCAGGGUGUACAUUUCAAUGGCCAUUUGCUCCAAGUUAUAUCUGCCACAUUUUUUCCCCAAAACUGACAUUGAUAGCUAUGAAUGCUAGAAACUGCAUUGAUAGCUAUGCUUUCCUAGCAUUCAUCUGUCCAUAUUCAAAAUGUUUUUUAUCUACGUAUACUAAUAUACUUCCUCAAUGGUCCUACCAACCUGUGAAAGAAACAACCAUAUUUAUUUCUUUGUUAAGGACCAUCGACUUGCUAUUUCACUGUCCCAACUGAAUGUUGGAACUCCAUGUUUCUUAGACUUCUCAUUAGCAAUUAACAGUGCUGAACGCUUGCGGCUCAAUCUAAUCUCAGCAUUUGAUUCGUACCCCGUGAUGGGCCCAUGGUAACUGGUUAGACUGUGAUUCAUAUCAGACAUCCCACGCAAUCAUUCAAUCGUAAGGCAACUCGGCUGUCAAUUCUGGCAUUAUUUAUCGUACCCAUUGAUGGUCCUUCGAGGUCGUAUUCAUUGGCAUUUAUGAUGCGUGCACCAUCGCAUGUGAAUCUCACUUACUGGUGCAAGGAUUCAUUGGUGAACACCAGACUGUUUGAUUACAUGAACAGACGUUGGGCCCAGGAGCCUGAUUAAGAUUGCACAUAUAGUUGCUUGCUAAUCGCCAAGAUGUUAGAGUAAUUAUAAUUGCCAAGUAACUCGAGUUAUAUUUUGUUCAUUGUCUUUAAAUAUGUCGUUGCAACUCAAUGUUGUAGCUGCUCUGGACAGUCUUUUUGAAAUUUCUAUGUUAGUAUGCACCUACGGUAAACCUAACUACAAGAAUUGCACCAACUACGACAGCUAUAUAAAUGCAAACAAUCCAAUUACAUGCAUCUAAACAAAUCUGAUGUAUGUGUGUCUCAUCUCUCACAUGAUGGGUUGUGAUACUAUCAUGCAGUGGAGCCCAAUGAAUACCAUUUCGUGGACUCAUCAAGAUCUUGCUUGAAUAGGGAUAUGUUCUGCAGGCUCAUACUUGCAUGCCCUUGAGUGCCCUUAAGGAGUCGAUCUCAGUUCCCAUCACUUUGAGAACUUGGGAUCAUUGGCAGGUAAAUCUCUCGAGAUCAAGAUUGUAGAGGCUAUAAUUCUCUAGUGGUAGGUAAGCUUCUCCAUCGGAUAUAUACAAAUUUUUUUUAUUAUUAUUUGGGGGGGGGGGGGGGAGUAUCCCUAACAAGUUGAGAGAUAACCUUCUUUUGUUCUUCAAUAUCUACACUGACUUAGGCAUCGGAGGAUCUAUUGCCAGAUAUGUUUCGAUCAAAGAACUUCUUUACUCUGUGCUAUUUUAGGUUAGAGUGCUACCAUCGGACGAGGAUCUCAGUUGCAGCAACCAAGCACCAUUUGCCUUCUCCAACUUCAACCAAAGCAGUCGACCAUUGAGCUCUCCAGCAUCGUCACACUUUUUGCUGCAGUGCCUAAGGCCAGUUAGACAUAAGCAGCAGCACAUAGCUUGGUUGGUUCCAAGGUUAUCCGGCAGAUAUUUGGAUGGAAGGAAGCAAACACCGUUCAAUAGAAUCUGGGAGAGCGGCUUGUCCAAAGAUGAUCGAAUUUUUAAUCCAACAGCAUGCGUGAUCUCUAUGCAGUCUCUUGUAUUGAUGUCCGAGCUCCACCUUAGCCAUUGCGUAGGGCCAGGAACGCAUCGUGACAACCUCAGGCACAGCAUGAAUUCAAUCAUGCAGAUCAAAGUUUGAUUCGAUUGCGUGCAAAAGCCCUGCAGAGUAUGGGUUAAGCUACAUCUCAUCUGUUCAACAUAACUUCUCACAGGCUUCAACUUGUUCAAGUUGCAUGUACUUUAAUAAUAAAGUUGGCUCUCAGACAUUGAAAUCAGUGCUGCCUCACCAGCCAUCGAGAAAACAUGACCAUUAUUUCAUCCAGUUGCAGGAAGCAUGGCCACAUAAUUUUAGGAUAAUGUAUAUAACCAAAUUAUACGUAUGGUCAUGCAUUUUUAAAUCUACGAACCUAUAUGAGAACAAUGAAACGUGAAAAAUCCAUCUCCAACUUUACUUGUAAACAAUCCAUGGAAUCCUUUGUUUCUUACAGGAACAACUUCUCUGCUCAAAUUGACUCCAUUGCACAGGCCUACCCCCGGAAAGUUAGCUUCGAAACAUGUGCCUAUGGUGCGACGAUAUUCCAGUUAAUUAAAUGUGAUUAAAGAACACGAAUUCAAUGUUCCUCAGGCUAUUAAUCAAACCGUUCGGUGGAGUAUAAGACAAAACACGCUUUUGGACGUGCAUGCCAACAAAAUCCAUCCAAGUCCCAACUCACAACAAAUUAAAAAGUAAUAACUAGCUCAGAAUAUUUUGUUAGCAUGAAACUUUAAGUAAUGUGAUUCUGAUACACUUCAUGGUGCUUCGCAUAUAACCAACCAUUGGUUAUUAAUUAAGUUACAUGGCAAAAGGACAAAACCCAGAGAUUAGAGUAUUUAAAAGUGGCCCGAAUCUUUUAUUAUUUCUCGUGCCGUCGAGCCUCUCGAAUUCAGUGGGCGCGGGAGGUUCGAGCCCUGGGACACGAUCCGCGAGUGGCGCCAAAACCAGGGGACGUCGUCAGGCGUCUAACGUCGCCGCUGGACUCGCAGUUCCCAAGGCGCAGGGCACGUGACGUGGCACUGCGCCGUCCACAGCGGCUCCGCUGCGGUCCAGGAAACGUCAGGCGUUUAUGUCAGUCGCGAACCUGACACGGUGCACCGGGCCGGUCCAACCCGGGCCCACGGGCUCGAGAUAGCGCGGUCCCCGGCCCGGCUGGCCGUGACGGAGAGAGCCUAACGGCGGGGGGACGGACGGUUGACUGUUGCGCUGGCUGGAGGGGCCUAACGACGGUUUGACGUGCGGGGGUGUGGGAGCCUCCGCCAUGUGGGUUUGCGUCACCGCCCUACGAACCAGUUCAAAAAAAUGGAACGUCGGUUGAGUAAAAGCCCCCAUCUGAUGAGUUAUUUACGAGAAGAGCCCCGCUUCUCCCAACGUCGGUCAUCCAUGUGGGCGGGAAUUGCUGCCAUCAUGUAGUGACGAGGAAGCACACGCCUUAUUUUCUCUGAAAACCUUGAAAUACGUCUCAAUAACUAGCUAGUACCAUUAACUUAUCAUUUCAAAUAACCAAAAUAUCCUCAUUUCUUUUGAUAUCUUCGAAUAUCUUUUCUGCUAUGCUCUAAUUUCGACUUUUCGUUGCGAUCCACUCCCAUCCUACCCUUUUCAGAGAUUAUUCAGCAUUCAUCGGUUAUUUUUUGAAAAAAAUUCCUACUUAAGAAAGGAAGAAAGAAAGAAAAGAUGGAAAGUGUGAGAUAUUAGCCUCAAUGCCAGCCAGCCACUUGACCAAGAUCAACAUAAAGGCCACACUAGCCCCUGUCAUGGAGAAAUGAGAAAGAGAGAUGAGAAAAAGAAGACGAAAAAAAGGAUGCCGAUAAUUGUUGGAUAAAUUGUAAUAUUUAAAUAAAAGAGAGAAGAAAAAAAAAGAAAUUCUUCUUGGAAGAGAGAGAAAGGGGCCAAUGUUGGAAAUGACUUCUUUUUAUGGCAUAGAUUUUAAUUUUAAGAUAAAGUCUCGUGACCAUGCAAAUGUGCUUUUGCACUGAUUUUCUAUUAUGGGACAACUAUUGAUAUUAGACUUCAGUUUAAAUGAAGAGUCGCAUGCUUAUGGAUUGAAGCAUCACAUAUUUAUAGAUCGAAAAUUGAUAUAUCUAUGGAAAAGUGUUUUUACACCUAUUUGGAACCUUCUCUUUCAUAUUGAGACCUUUAUUUUUUAUUUUGGUUUCUAAACAGAUUUUUAGGUAGUUUCUAAGAAUUUUUCCAGAAUUGCUAUCUGCAGAGUUCUACGAGGCUUUAUUAUAUCUCGUUAGCAAAUUCAUUUGAUAAUGACAGAUGUCAUCAUAAAAAUGGUAAUUUACGUGCCUUGAAGCAUUGAAUUGUCCUAUUGCUCUCUCCGUUUCAAACCACUCUUCUCAGUAAUAAUGACAAAGAUGAGGGAAGAGAAGCGGCCGGCCCACGAGAUCGCGAGGGUUCUGGCCACACCCAAAAAUUGAGAGAGCUUUUGGCCCUCUACUUUUCCACCCCUUCUGGCCUCAUAUUCCCUUCCUUCACCAGAACCCUAACCCCUCUCUUCGACUUCCCCUGCUGCACGCCUGCACCCUCACCAUUGAGUGCACUAUUUGAUUCGUCUCCUUCUUCGCCACCCACCUUGGUGCCAAAGACACCAUUUCUCUCUAUAAAUAGUGGUUGUGCCAUUGGCUGGUAGCUGACGACCCGACCCUCACUCACUCUCUCUUUCUCUCUCGUUUUUCCGAUGGCUCGGUUGGAUCAAACAGGGGCCAUCCCAUGCACGUUCCCCAUUCCAACCUCCCUUUUUCCCUUCUCUCUCCCCUCCCCGCCACCAUUUCCAUGAGACAACAACUAUUAUGGCCUCUGCGUUGAUCUUAAGCGAGACCAUCCUACCUCUCUCUCUCUUCCUUCUUGAGAGAGGGUCGGGGUUAGAGAGCUUUUGGGAUAGGGAACAGCUAUGCUUAAAAAUAUGUGCCGAUGAAUAAACAAGCCACGUGUUACUUUGAGAUUUAUGUAGAUAGAUGAAUUAACUAUCGUUCACUUUGAGACCUGUGCAGAUAGGUGAAUGAAAAGUUUCUAAGUGCUUUGAGAUAUAUGAAGUAGGUGUUCCAACGGUAAAAUUGUAUAAAAAAAAAAAAAAAGAACCAUAAAUGAUACAAUUCACUUUUUUUUUUAUUUUUUAAAUUAGAGCUCAGCCUAAAAAAAUUGACAACAGUAAUAAUUUUUUUCGAAAAAUAGAUUUAUGAUAUCAUGUGAUAGUCAACUGACACCUCUUUAUUAAGAGAGAUGAAUGAUGGGAUCAUUUUUGAACACUUUAAGAAUUUGAAGGUGGCAUUUGAAAUUUUUUAAAAAUGAAAGAGUAUUAGCUGUAUUGGCCUAAAAAUUUAAGAAGGUGAAAUUAUAAUUUUCUUUAAAAAAUAAAACAAGGAUUAGCUGAAAAAAUCAUUGGGAGAUAGAGAUAGGAAGUAUGGAAAUAAAUAUAUACUUAUGCUUUUAAUUUUUUUUUUAUGUGCGAGAAUACCAAACUUGAAUAUUUAAUAUAAAUAUUUUAAAAUUCAAAUUUUUCAAUAAUGAGUCCAGAAAUCUUAAGAGGCUCUUAUAUUUAUUAUUAUUACAAUGGACGUCUAUAGUCCUCAUUCCUUGCAAUUUCAAACGAACCAUUUACAAGCAUCACGAAAAAAAAAAAGAAUUUCAUGACAAACGCGUUACGAGAAGCAUGAUAUCGCUGGGCACUUCCCUUUUUGGCCGUAGAGGCCUAUGUACAUGUAUCGCACGCAAAUUCUGAAGUGGAGGGCGUACGAGGCAAUCAAGUGCGCGUCUCAGGUGCCAUGGGGGCUCCUGAUGCCAGUGCCAGAGCCAGACCCAGAGUCCAUCGUUUGCCAUCACGACAAACCAACGGUUGUGAUUCACCCACUGCCCUGUCCCUUUUCCUCGAUCCCAGCUUUUCAGCCACUGGAUGCCCUGCACGUGAACCACUUCCACCCUGGACCAGCACCCAGCCGUACACUUCUGGACCGUCUGAUCACGGAUAGAGACGUGUGAGCAUCAGAUACACCACAUGCAGGACCAUAGCUGACUGUAGUCCAUUUUAAUGGUUCAGAUCUUAGUCAAACUCCCCCGUUGUUGAGAAAGUAGCCAGCGGUCAGAUCAGAUGUACUGCUAUUCUGCACCGUCUGAUCAAGGAUAGGGACCAGCUAGUCUGGCGAACAACGACUUCAUGGAGGACCUCAGGUUAAUUAUACCAGCGGCUUUGGGUGGUUGGGAUUUCAAAGUUAGGAGCCAGCGGCCAAAUGUACUGCUCUAGACCGUCUGAUCAGAGAUAGGGGCGCGUUAGCCUUAAAUAGAUGGGAACGGGGGACUCGGCACGGGAUCAAAAAAUAGCUCCAUUCGUGAUGCAGUUCGGAGUCCCAUCUCUACUGAGGUGUUAUUUAAGCAAAUAAUAUAUAUAUAUAUAUAUAUUAAUUUAUUUUUCAUCACAGCAGGAAGCAACGCACAUCAUCGGCAAUUAUAAUAUAAUAAUAUAUUUAAUGUAUAGUGUUGCUCGUAGGAGUAAAAGUUCAAAAGAUGGAUAAAAGAAGGAAGGCAAAUGAAUGCUUGUGAGGGUAGAACUGAAGAGACACAGGAGAGUAGACAUGAGUAGGGAUAAAUGAUAUCACAAUAAAUUUGGCUUAUAAUUUAUGUAGACUAAAAAAUACUGCAGUGCACGUUUAUAAAAAUACUUGGCCCAUAGUUUAUGUAAAUGAGGGAACACUGCAGUACAAAUUUAUAGAAGCCGACCAGAUCAUAGUAAUAUUUGUGAUUAAAUUUGAAUAGAUUUAAACUUUUAGCUUAAGGAGAUAUGGGCCCUUCGAGGCUUCGAUUACCGAUUUUGUGGUUGUUAUAGCAUCACCAUGAAUACUUUAUUUGUUAUCACACGUGAUAAAAGACUAAAUUUUUAUAAUAAUUUUUAAUAAAAUAUAUUUUCUUGCGAUGCAGACCCAGUCACCAUCUCAUCACUCGCAUCACCCAUUCACAUUCAAGGCAAGGUACAGAAGAAAAUGCAUGGAUCUAUGAACAAAUUGUUCUCAAAAUAGACAUCCUUUAACUUUUCUUUUUAAUUUAUGUAGUGACUGUAAAAUGUGGUUACUGUUUGCAGAUUGAUAGAAUGCAACAGUAACAGUAGCUCCCUCUUUCGUAUGUCCUUUUGAUGUGUUCGAGCUUAUUAUGAUUAGACCAUCUGAUCAAAGAUAAGGACCGGGUCUCCCAUCAUUCUAGCCGAAAAUUCCAACGGCCCAGAUCUAUUAGCGAACAGAGCAUCACCCGUCCCACCGUUAUGAAUGCCAACGGCGCGGUAGCGGCGAUCGGCAGGGCUACUUCCGUAAAAUAACAGAGAAUCGGGGGUAUUUCCUUUAGACGGCGACCGCGCGUUCAUCGAGCUGGAAGAAGAAGGGGGGGAAGGGAGUUCGGGAUUCAUAAUCCCAUUGAAUGCUGAAGAGAAGAAGAAAAGGUCGGAAUUCUUCGAUCGUGACUUCUUGCUUGCCCGCUCGGCGUUGAGGGUUGGGGUUUAGGGUUUACGGAACCGCCAAUCCCCUGGUCUUCUCGUCCCAAGUUCGGAGUUUUAUUGAUUCUGGGCAUCAUUUGAGCUUUGGAUGCUUCUUCGAGGGAGCGAGCUGAUAGUUUACUCCGUUUUGAGGGAUUUCUUUGCUGUGUGUUGGGUUUGAGGAGGUUUGGGGGGGGGGGGGGGNNNNNNNNNNNNNNNNNNNNGGGGGGGGGGUUCGCCGACGGAAAGCCCGGGUUUCUCGGAGGUUUUUUUCUUUGUUUGGAAGGUUUCGGAGGCUAUCCGGGUAAGAAAUCUAGGAUAUUUUGUUGCUUUUAUGAGACGGCGUUCUUGGUCCUGGAUUUGGAGGUCCGGGGGCAGUUUUGGUAAUCUGGGAUCCUCUUAGGCUCCUGCUAUUCCUGUGAAAAGGGGUUUCUCUAGUCUUCCUAUCGAUAAUUAGCAGAUUGAUUUGAAGGAAUAAAUCAGGAAUUUUUGGAAAGAUUUUUUUACCUUUCUUCAAGGUUUCCUAGGGUUUUUCACCCUAUGGUUUAAGGGUUCCAGGAGUUAGCUACUGUACAAGGUGGCUGGAUCCCUUUUUGUGUGUCGUUUUCUUGCACAGGGAACAGUACCUUCACGGGAACAGUGCUUCGAUGCCCGUCUACCGUCUCAUGGCCUUCCCCACUUCUUAACUCUUUAAAAAAGAGGACCAUUCUUUCAAGCAGCAGCAAAAGCAAGGAUUUUGGUCGCAUCCGGAGUUUAUUUCUCCAAGGACUCGGAUUUGGGGGAUUGGAAGAGAAGGGUUCUGAUAAAGGCUGAGAAAAGGAGGGUCUUUUUACGGAUCUUUGAUGGCUAUUUUGUGAAUUCUCGAGAAAUUUUAUUACCAGAAAAUUGCGUAGAAAACAAAAGUGACAGGAAGAAGAAAUAGUGUAAGAAAAAGGGUAAGAUUAUUGUGUUGUCUGGAGUUCUGGUUAAAAGAGUCUUUUCCUUCUUGAUUGUUUUGAUACAGCGAUAACAACAGUAGGUUCUGAUGUCUGUUAUUUACGUUAGCCUGGCGGGAUCGGUGUCGUCUUGAUGGGGAGCUUUAUUUUGUCACGCACUUGGGACUUUCUUCUGCUUCUCUGUUUUUUGUUUUGCUGUUGCUCAUAAUAGGAGGCCUGUCUCUGUGGGUUGGUUUACGUUUGAAUUCUGAGGGGAAGAGAUGAGUUCUAGCCUACUACAGAAGCGAGGGAAGAGUGUCAAGGGCUUUGAUGCUGCCGAGAAGGUUGUGGUAGCUGUCAAGGCUUUCAAGGAAAUCUCAAAGACCGCCCUUGAAUGGGCUUUAACCCAUGUUGUUCAACCUGGUGACUGUAUCACACUUCUGGUUGUGGUUCCACCGCACAGUUCAGGUAUCUCUUCUCCAUUGUUUCUUCCUAUCCUUUUUUUUUCCCCUGUUUCUUGGCCACUUUUGCCAUGUAGUUCUUCUCAGUCUUCCAUUAGCUUCCUUCUUAUGAUGAAUUCUGAAUGACAUUUAUUGACCCCUGAUGGUGCAGUCACUGGCCUGGUUAUGGAUACUAUGAUAGUUACCAUGUUAUCUCACAUCCCUGUUUUUGAAACGUUUUCUAUUGUGCGUUAUAUCUAAAAACUGACGCAUUUUUCUCUUUGAAACCUCCUGUUCAGUAUUCCUAAGAAGGUGGUUUGGGUUCAUAGGUUGCUGAAUGCGGAUGUUUUACAAACCUUAGCUGUUGAUAUCACAUCCAGAUUUCACAUUUUGAGCAUUGAGAAGCCUUUUUUCUAGCUAAAGCUUUUCACUAGGUCAUAUCGACUCUUCAUUUUGGUGCCUUGGCGAGUAGAUUGCUUAAUUAGGAUUUGCAUCCUUGAGAGUUGAGACAUGUUAAAAAAUAUGGCUUUAUGAAAAAUGAUUUUGGUUAGAAGUUUAUUCCUAAAUCACAUGUCACUCUAUAAAGCAAAGUAUACUAUGAUGUUAAGGAUAUCUGUUUGUUGUGAAACUAAUUUUAGAUCUGAAUAAUCAUAUAUCUUGCUGUUAGCUGAUGACCGGAAAACCUAUGAGCUUGUUUUGGUUUUAAUCCUUCAGGUAGAAAACUAUGGGGAUUUCCAAGAUUUGCAGGGGACUGUGCCAGUGGUCACAGGAAGUCCCUUUUUGGAACUACAUUAGAGCAGAAGUCUGAUAUUACAGAUACAUGUACUCAGAUGAUGCUUCGGCUUCAUGACAUUUAUGAUCCAAAAAAGGUAAAGUACCCAAGAAAUUUCUGUCAGUUCUUCCUGUUCACUUCUCUUUGCUAGCUGUUACAUGAUUUUCUUUUUUUUUUUUGAUGUUUUGUAGAUAAAUAUCAAGGUGAAGGUCGUUUCUGGAUCACCUUGUGGUGCUGUAGCUGCUGAAUGCAAGCGAGCUCAAGCAAACUGGGUCGUAUUGGACAAGUAAUGAUUAAGCUGUUAAAUGAUUUUGUUUGAUUUUGUUUUUUUUUUUUUAAGGCAAGCAGGAUUAGAUGUCUAAGCUAUGCUUCUUCCAUUGCCAAUAGAUUUUCUUUUCCAUUUUAUUUGUUGACUGGAUCCACUCUUUUUCAUACAACUUCCAUUUACAGAGAACUGAAGCAUGAGGAGAAGCGCUGCAUGGAAGAGCUACAAUGUAACAUAGUGGUUAUGAAACGUUCUCAACCAAAAGUUCUUCGUUUGAAUCUCACAGGAUCUUCUGAGGCAGAGUCACAAGUGUCCUGUCCACUGCCUUCUGAGCUGGAUAAAUCAUCCAGAGAAACUACAAAGGAUAUGAGAGAUCCUCAGAAUUCCAUUAGAGGGCCAGCUGUGACACCAACCAGCAGCCCUGAAGUAGAGACACCAUUUACUGCUACUGAAGCUGGAACAUCUUCAGUGUCAAGCUCCGAUCCUGGAACUUCACCAUUUUGUAUUUCUGAAACUAAUGGCGGUCUUAAGAGGGGGGAACAGUUAAUCACAAAGGAAAUCCAGAAUUUAAAUGUAACCAGCUCUGACUCUGACAGCGAAAGUUUGUCUCCUUCAACAUCCUUAGAUUAUCAGCCCUGGAUGGCUGAGAUCCUCUGUGAUGGCUGCACAUCUUCAAAGCAAGUUGAAGAAUUGUCACAACAACGUGAUAGUAAAGCCUGUAUCUCCAAAGCAAAAGCAUUGUUGGAAAAAUUCUCUAAACUUGAUCAGGAAGGUGGAAUUGUUAAUCUGAACUCCAGAUCAAAUUUGAAGUUCAAUGGAAAUGUCAGAGAAGCAAUUUCACUAUCUAGAAAUGUACCUCUAGAGCCACCUCCAUUAUGUUCAAUAUGUCAGCACAAGGCACCUGUGUUUGGAAAGCCUCCAAGGUGGUUCAGUUAUUCUGAACUAGAACUUGCUACAGGUGGGUUCUCUCAAGCAAACUUCCUGGCCGAGGGUGGUUUUGGAUCUGUUCACAGAGGGGUCCUGCCAGAUGGUCAGGCAAUUGCUGUUAAACAGCACAAAUUAGCUAGUUCACAGGGCGAUCAGGAGUUCUGCUCAGAGGUGGAAGUCCUAAGCUGCGCACAGCAUCGUAACGUCGUUAUGCUAAUUGGGUUUUGUAUUGAGGACAGGAGAAGGUUGCUUGUUUAUGAAUAUAUCUGCAAUGGAUCAUUGGAUUCACAUCUUUAUGGUAAUUCCUUUAAUUAUUUACCUGCAGCCCAUUCUUACAUGGUAGAUAGUUAGUGUAGUUUUACUAGGUAUUGUUGUAUAAGUGUUGGAGAUGGAUUAUCUAUUUUUACCAAUUUUUCUAAUCUCUAAUAUCUCAGUUGUUUCGGUGGGUGACCGAUACCGAAAUGGAUCAAGUUCAUGGUUUAUCCUGCACAAGAUGGAGCGCUGAAGAAAUUUCUAAAUAACUUAAACAUUCCAACACUAUUGUAAUAUUGACCUAUAUAAUAAACCAGAUUGACUGGUGCUUGAUGCAUCGAUGUUACCCUUUAGUAAAUAAAAAAUCUAUAGUAAAUUUAAACAUUGUUAGUUUUAGUUUAUAAGAAACCUAUAACUAAUUAAAAUGCAGAAAAGAAAGACUGAGAUUCUUUGCCAAUAUGUUGCUAUCCUUUCGCAGAUAUGUUGAUUUUUUUAUUUAUAUUGGCAUAGAUAAUCAAGUCUGUAUUUUAUAAAACUGUAUUGAUGAGUGCCCAAUAGAAAUACAAACUGAUAUAUCAUUUGAGAUUUGGAAAAACAAAAAUGUGGCUAUCAUGACCUUUAUACAAAGAAGGGCCUGACUUCCUGGCUGCAAUAUCCUCUCAGGGACAAAAAGAUAAAAAUGCCUACAACAUGAGAUGAUAAUGUAUGUUACUUGAAAGUUGUUAAUUAUGUAAGUUUUCUGUUGUGUGUAGGCCGUAAUAGACAGCCACUGGAGUGGUCUGCUAGGCAAAAGAUUGCAGUGGGAGCAGCACGAGGGUUGAGAUACCUUCAUGAAGAGUGCAGAGUUGGUUGCAUUGUCCACCGGGACAUGAGACCUAAUAACAUUCUUAUUACCCAUGAUUUUGAACCACUGGUAUGACCUCCAUGCUCAUUUAUUAGGUCAUUGAUUCUCUGUGAUUGUUUUGAACCUAUCUUGAAACAAUUUAAACUCAUUCUUCAUUGGAUUUACUUGGCCCUGAAAGCAGGUAUUAAUGUCUUUACUGCAUGUAUUCAGUUAAUAUAUCCAUCAUUUGUGCAAGUUACUCUUCAUUUGAUCCAUAGAAAAAUCAAAUCCAAUGACUGUCUAGUUCAUCUUGUGUUUGUUCAGUUUUUAGAAGAGUCCUCUGUACAGUUCGGAAGGUCCUUCUCAUUGUCAUGAUUUUUCUUGAAUGUAUUUAUUCAUUUAUUUAGGCUAGCUCUGUAUCCAGUUUUCAGUUUUCAAGGUUAGAGAGCAAACUAUAUUUCUUCAGAAGUUUUUCAGUUGGUCACACCUGUUUCCUUUGUGGUCUCUACCAUGAACAGCCAGCAUUUUCUGCCAAUUUUAGUUGGAGCCAUUUUGUCCCUGUGUGAGACCAUGACAACUGUCAUAACAUCCUUCCCCCAAAAUCUACACUGCCAUCAGUUGCAUCCUAGACUUCUCCAUUCUUUACCUUUUCCUGCGCUCUGAUCCUUCAACAGGUAUGUGGAACUUGUUUCUUGUUUUGUAUCUAUUGGCCUGUAUUUGAUUAAAUGGGAUGUAUGUUCUGAGGUGCAGUGUGGAGAGGAACUGUACAAUUUAGUAAGUUGUUUCAAUUGGGUGCUUUGAAUACUCAUCCUCAAAUUCAGAGGGUGGAAUGAUUAUAUCUGAAGAAACUAACUUAUUAUUUUCACGGUCUUGCAUGUUAAGUAGAAGAUUCACCUUAGGGAGGUAUUCCUACUGAGAAAUUCACAAAUUUAAGUGGAAGAUUUACCUUAGGGAGGUAUUUCUACUUAGAAACCCAUUACCAUGUUUGGACUUGCUUUUGGAUGCUUCUAGCAAUCCCCCGUCAUGCAUCAUUUAUUGCUUUCAUAAUAUAGGGUCAUUUGGGUAGCUCCUCAUCCUCCUCUAAUGUAGGAAGAUUCCAUAUUCCAUUGUGCAAGCUAAAAACAUGUUUAUAUGGUUUGUUUUGAGUUUAGAAGUUGCAUGAUACUUCAUUUACUUGGUUUUCUCAUAUGCAAAUUAAGUAAUCAAUUAGCUUCAUUCUUUCUCCACCUUUCUUUAGUUUUAUCAUUUUUUUUUUGUGGUUGAGGAGUUACCUCUAUAGUCUAUAGUUUGUGUAUGCUGGAAUUUCUGCAUAAAUCUGAACAACUUCAACAUGAUGAGUGUAAUCACAGAAAAAAAGAUCUGAACUCUUUUCAUGGCUAAUCUCAAAAUCAGUCUACAUUAAAUAUUCUGUGGAAAGGAUACUUAGUGAAGAUUGGAGCUAAAUAUUGAACUUAAACAAGAUUCGUACUAGUUGCAUGGACAAAGAGGAAAAAGUUUCCACUAUCAUGUUCAGAAGUUGCAAAAUGGUUUCGCUUACUGCAUUUGCUAGGAUGAUGAAGGUAAAGUUGACUUCAUGCAUACGAGGUUGCUAGCAGCCAUCAACCCUACCCCAACAGCACAUAUACAUACGCAUACACAUACAACCAAACAACAGUGGUAAACUUUUAAUACCUAUUUAUGUACAUUAAGGUGGGUCAUUAGCUUCCUAGCUUUGAAUGCAUCAUAUGCAAAUGUCGGUUACUUGAGUAAUUGAAGUAAAUACAGUUCCAAAAUGAAAUACAUAAUGAAGAUCAUCUUUGAACAUUUGAAGCAUUUUGAACAUGAUAGCUAUUUAUUGUUGAGAGGAAAAGGGAAACAAAACUAAAUAUGACAGUAGAAUCAAGAUAACUUGUUCCUCAUGAAGUGUUGAAGUAGAAUAGGCUUUGACCAGUAAUAAUGUGGAAGCUCAUCAUCAUAAUAGUUGUUCUGCAUAUCUGAAAAUGAUAGUUCUCUGGUGCUAAAUCUUGUGCUUAGGUGGAUUUAUGCCUGAUAGCUGAUUGAUGCUCAUAAAUUCACGUACCUCUAUGAGAUUGUAUUGAAACACCACAUCUGAUGCUUCCCACGUCCACUUUAGCAAGUCUAUCAGCCAUCAUGGUAGCUGUCAUCCCAUUUGGUACAUUUAGCAGUAGUUCAGUAGUGCUCUCCAGCAAACAUAUACUCAUCAAACAAACUAGUAUACAUAUUAAUGCCUCCUUUGAGAGGCAACCAACUCCUAAGUAACUCAAAAAAAAAUGUUUUUCUCCAUUUUCACUUAAAUGAUACACAGGGUUCCUGAAGUGGAUCUUUUCAGAAGAAAAUAAAUUCUGUGGAACCGAGGAAAUUGCAUCUGCUUUACUAGAUGUCUUGCCUUGGUCAAUAAUCAAUAAACCAUGCUUUUGCUAUUGUUUCUUUGUUCUUAAUCUGUAAUAAUGGAACCUUUCUAGAUUUUCAAGUGAGCUACCAUCAAAAUUCAACUUUUAUGUAGUUGGAGACAAUUAUCACCUAGGCUUGUGAAGUACUAACUAGUGGUUAUUGGAGAAGGAUGAUGAAUCAAUUUUAUUUGUAGGUUUUGAAAAUCACAUGUUCAUUAUGUUUCCUUCUCAUAUAUUCUUUUUCUUUAUAUAAAUCUAUCAAUGAACUCUGUUUAUGUUAUAUAUACAUAGACUCCUUGUUUGGUGUUUUGUUCAUUAAAAAUAGGUUCCUUUAACAUGUAGACUUGCUUUUAUUCCAUAAAAAUGUUUUCAUUCACUUCCAGACUUGCUUAGGUUUCUGCUAACCAUUUUUCUAAUUGCUCAUUCUUUGAAACAAAGGAACUUGAAUCUCUUAUGGGAGUGCUUAAUGACUUCCAUCUGAUUUUUUCCAAUUUAAACAAUGUAAUGUGACCUUGUUGACCCCAUUUCCUGUUCUUUUCAGCAACAGAAGUUGAUAUCUGUAGGGUACUGCAGCAAUGUAAAGAUGUUGUUCCUCUAGAUAAUCUUAUUCCAACAUCAAAUUUUCUGUACAUUGAUCUCUCUUUUUAUGUUUUAACCAUAGACUUUGCAGUUAAGUUCCUGAUUCUCAUUCCAUUGAGCUGACAGUGCUGUCAGUCAACUAUGUUAAUGAAUGUGUUAGGCUAUAUCCAUCACAUGCCAACCAAAUUAUGAAAGUGCAUGCAUACCUGACUUAUCAUCUCUUCUUGAUUUGCUGGUUCCUCAUUCUGGUACAUAGAAGAUUGGGAUGAGUCUUAUGUCGGGAUUGGAAGUUUGACACCAGUCAAAAGUAAGAACUAUUAUUCUAAGGCGAACCCAGCAGGGUGGGUUGAUAUAUUUCAAAUGUCACGUCUCUGUAGAUGCCUCUAUUUGGGAACAUGACAUUCCACUAUUACAUUUCUUCCAUUUCUUCCCUUAGGAGUAAUGACUGAAUGUAUGCAUUAUAUUUGCAGGCCCACCCCCCCCCCCCCCCCAACUCAACAAAAAAAAAAAAGAAAAAAGAAUGUGUUCAUUGUUCACAAUCAUAUAGCAUUUAAUUUGAGGCUAGUUGUAUCAAAAAGCUAUACUUCUGUUUUAUUGGGGCUUUGGCUUCAAUGACAAUUGUUGGAUGUACAUAAGAAUCAUUAUGGCAUCUAAGUUUUAUGAUGAUUUUUUUUUAAGGUUGGGGAUUUUGGCCUGGCAAGAUGGCAGCCUGAUGGGGACCAAGGUGUGGAAACAAGAGUGAUCGGCACCUUUGGGUAAACUUGGAUUAGAAUAAUACAUCUUCAUUCUUUUGAGAGUAAAUAGGGUGUAUCUAAAUCACCUCUGGUGAGUUAUAGGUAUCUGGCACCAGAGUAUGCACAAAGCGGCCAAAUUACAGAAAAAGCUGAUGUGUAUUCCUUUGGAGUGGUACUGGUGGAACUUGUCACUGGACGAAAAGCUGUCGAUAUUAACCGACCGAAGGGUCAGCAGUGCCUUACUGAAUGGGUAAGUUGCAUAUUAACAACACUCCCCAUGAGGAACAAAUAAAUUUCUAUUCACGUGCAUGGAUCUGUUAUAUCAUUUGGUUAGAACCAUUAAUGUUGGCUUGGUGAUAGUAAUAUCUUUCUCUGGAAAUGUACUUUUUGCUGCACUGGCUUCAUGAAAAUGCUGAGCAAAUUAUUAAUCUUUUGUUCUUAAGAAAAUAUAGAAACUGUUGCGAACUGUUUUUUGGGUGUAAGGUCCCUGGAUUUAAUCUUAAUAUUGUCGUAACUUGUUUGAGUAGGCUCGACCUUUACUGGAAGAGUAUGCAAUUGAAGAGCUUAUAGAUCCACGUUUGGGGGACCAUUACUCUGAACACGAAGUCUACUGCAUGUUGCAUGCAGCAUCGUUGUGCAUCCGACGUGAUCCUCACGCAAGGCCCCGUAUGUCGCAGGUAAGUCUGAAUUAUAUUUGCAAAAUCAAGAUCUGCAAAAAGGGACAGUAGACUAUUUUUCUGAUCCUCAAAUAAUUUGUGGUUGUCAUGUAAAUAAAAAAAAAAGGUUCUUCGAAUAUUGGAGGGUGACAUGGUCGUGGAACCCAGUUACAUUUCAACACCUGGCUAUGACAUUGGAAACAAGAGUGGACGGAUGUGGCGAGAUCAGCAGCAGCAUCCACUAUACAGUGGUCCGGUCCGGCAGGUGGAUUUGGAAGGUUUUAGUAGGAAGCACUCCUAUGAGGCUAUAAAGGCUGCUUGGGAGAGAGAGAGGGAGGGCUUCAUGCGUAGAUGGUGAUGGACUCCUAAGCACCAUGCUAUGCCAAGGCAUCCCUAAUGCAAUGUGUAUUCUUCUCUGUUCUGUUUUCCCAUCUAUCUUUGCUCCUACUUAGUAUGGUCUUCAUCAAUUUAUAGAUGGUAUUUUGUUAGGAUGCUGUUGUAUAGAAAUGUCAUUAGGUUUAUCAAUUUAUACAUUGUAGGNNNNNNNNNNNNNNNNNNNNGGUUUAUCAAUUUAUACAUUGUAGGAUUGAUGUUGUUUUGUGAGUGAAUGCAGAGCCACUUUUUUGUUAAAUUGCUUCUCUCUCUCUCUCUCUCUGCUCUUGGUCAAUGAAAUCUUCUAAGCACUUGAAUUUAACAUAUCAGAAUUCUUCGAGGUGCAUAAACCAAAACUGAGAAACCAAUUCGCAAAUUAAAGGUCGGUUGAGAUGUUAUCUUUGAAGAGUAAUGCCUUAUCUAACAAAAUUUCGGGGGAACUCAAUUCCAGCCCUUUGUUUAACUGGUAUCUUAUGUGGAGCCCUUAUAUAGUCGGCAUUCUACUUUCCCCCCUUGCACAAAAUUAAGCUUGUGAUUUGCCAACAAUUAGAUGUGUACAUACUUAUCUUUCUUUUGUGUACUUAUAAAUAAACCAGAGAUUACAUAUAAAUGUUUAGGCAUAAACUCAGUAGAGUGAGAUUAUUAAAUGACAGUCGAUCUGAGGGUUGGGUCUCAAUUAUCAUAUUUUUCAGCAUUGUCUUGUUUAAUUGGAUUCAUUCAAUUAAGGAGGGCUCAUUGCGCAAAGCUGGUGAACCCCAUCCAAAGCCUAAACAUCUUUUUCCUUUGUGUUAUUUUUAUAUAAGCGAAGCAGGUAGAGUCAGACCUCAAGGCUUCUCAACUUUUUUUUUUUUUCGAAAAACUUUUCCAUUGUUGAAUUAGUCUUUUGCGUCUGGUGUCCGGUCACGAGAAGCAUUUAGCUGUGGAGUUGACUCAUUCCCCGUUCCAAUAACAAUGUGAUCUGUGUCUUCCGCAACUUUUCUCGCCUGGCUCUCGAGCAUCAAAUCAUCCGAUAUCAAAUUCACUGCAGGGGAAUCACUCUGAUGUAACUACUGAAAGCUUAGUACUUCUUUUUUGAGGACGGUGCCUGCCCUAUUGUCAGCGUCUCUUGUCAUUUACUAGUACCAGACUGCACUGACCUGGCCACAAGAGGAAAGAAUUAUUUGGCAGGGUCUGAAAAGAUGGAUGCUACUUAAAACAAAAAAAAAAGGGAAGGCCUCCGGUUACCUGCCCUCUGCUAUCCCCACCUCACAUCAAAGAGAAAUGCUGGGUCUUGUUUCUAUGUACUCUAAUAAAAUGAGUGAUCUAUCUAAGUCUGUCAUUUUCUGUCCAUCCCAAAUAUUGAUGAUUUUUACAGUAUAUUUAUUGAAAAAUUUACAUAUGUACUAGUUUGAUAUUUGAGAAUGAAAUCCAUUAGCUCAGCAAAUCCCGCAACAUGCAUGUCUCUAAUUGCUUUUAUCUCUUUAUCUUAUAUCUUAAAUAUAUCGCAAAUUUGAAUAUGAAGGCCUAAGUUGCACGAUCAAUAAUUUUUCUCAUCAUAGUACUUUUCUAAAACUAGGGUUAUAGAGAAUUUGCAUUCCCUCCAAACUCAUUCAAGUUGCUAACAAACUAUUUUGCUGGAAGAAAUUGAUGUCUCUUUAUAGUCUUUGUUUCUAAAAAUGUACUUGUUUGUAGCAAUAAAACUAGAACUUUUUCCAUCCCUUGUUAUCAAUGAAUGAAGCCAAGAAAGCUGCUGUUCAAGUUACGGUUGUAUGCCAUAGUUCAUCUUGUGACCUCCAAAGUUGCACAGCUUAUAAAUGCCGAACAUCUGACCCCAGUCGACCCGCAAGUUCCUCCACUUCACCCUUUCCAUGACGCUGCUUAUCUGAAGAACAGGUCAUAUCGUACGGAUAAGACAUCUAGGCUUCAAAAGACCUUCGUGAUUGGUUAGUGCUAAGCUUGAAACCUGUGAACGACAGUGGAAUCAGAAGAGACAGGAUUUGGUUAGGCUGGGAUCCGACCCUGACCUUCAUGGUUCGUAUGCGCUCAACGUUUGGAUCACCAAUGCGCAAGGCCAGAAGAUGUACGGAGACACGAGAGGACAAGCAACAGGGAAAGUGGAGCGCAUGCAACUAUGAUUUUAAAAAAAAAAAAUAGCGUCCAUCAGAUUUGAUGCAGCUUUAAGCUGGAGGAUUUUUAAUAUACAAAGUCACGACCUGAGGAGGAUUUUUAAUAUAUACCAAGACCUGGCCCCGUUAUCAUCCCUACCGACCGCUCAGGUCAGCUUCAGUCUUGACCUCAGCCUCAGGUCAGCGUCAGGCCGAGAUGAGUAGGCUUGGUUUUGAGCUUGCAGAGUAUGGUUGUUGUCGCCUUCGAUUAAUAAUCGAUCUUGCCGCCUAUCAGUUAACUUGUUAAUUUCCAAUUCAAGUGGUCAAUUUGUCGUUGAGGCCAUCCACCGAGCAAAAGACGUUGACGGUGAGAGGAGGAAUCAUCAAGAACUCAUCUGACUGUCUUUUAAGAGACCGAAAUCUAUUGAAUCCCAACAUCAUAGCAUACUUCGACCAUUUUUUCUACUUUUUUCCAUUGCAUGAUCAAGAGGCCGAGGGUUUUUUUUUUCGGUCUAUGACCUGGAACAUAUUGGUACAUGGCAUGGGGAAAACAUAAAACCAAUACAGUGAGAAAAAACAAAGGGUAAAGCAUCAAUCACAGAAAAAGCUGCAAGAAGUCUCCACCAGCCUUGCUAAGAUUGUAGGAGGUCCAGUAAACUAGUUUUCCAAGAAAACACUCUAGUCCAAUGAUGUUAUAGAAGGUGCAGGAUCCUGUCGUGGCUCGCGAAUUCAGAUCAAACUGUUCUCACACUGUUAUAAGAAAAAAUAAAUUAAAAACAUCGCUGACAAACUUAUGUUGCCAAUAACCAUGAACAGGACUCAACAGGCAGCGUACAGGCUGGAACAUCCAAACCAACCUAUAAGAACCUCAUGUUCCCAAUCAAGUAAAGAUGUGGCUAAUGUCACCUGAAAGAGCCAAGAUUGUUCAAAACCUUGAGAAGCCACCCAGCAUAUCAAGAAGUUUAAACCUCUGCACUUGCUUUGUUGGGUAAUAAAACCUCUGCACCCAGAAAAAUUAGUGUUCUGAUGCUGCUCGGACCAGUAAAAGCCAGCCUAGACUGCUCUACAUCUGGUCAGGGCGGGCAGUCCGUCAAUGAUUGACUAUAUUAAUUUAUUCACUGGAGGAACACGUAAAUCCAAUAUCAUUAAGAUUUUCAUCACCAGGGAGAUGCAAACAUAAUAAAAAUAUACCAAGUGAUGUGAUAUUCCAUAUAAGGAGAAUAAAAUAGCAAAAGGAGAAGCAAUGACCAAAAUCGAUAUAAAUAGAGCGCCAUAGCAAGCAGUGGUAAGUCCUACAGUUAAUCAGACAUAUUUGUGAUGACUUCCAAUUUCACUCAAAUAUACAUAGUUGAAAACAAAGGAGAACAGGAAACAACAUUUUUAAUGGAUCCUAGCAACAUAUCUAAAUUAAGAACAGAUUAAAUAAAGAUAGUCGCAGAUAGGCGCAAUUUUAUCACGCAGCAAGCUCUCUACUUCCCAAGAGUGGGAAACUGUCCAGGAUCCUCAAUUGAAGGAGCAGCAGCUGGAACACUUGUGCCCCCACCGCUAAACCCACCUCUGAAUGGUCCACGACCAGCCCGGCCCCUGCCACGGCCACGACCAGCUGGACUGUAGUAUCUUUCUCCUUCAGCCGGUUUUAGAAACUCAUUGAUGUUCACAGACUAACAAAAAAAAAGUCCACCAGUCAAUUUAUUGAGCAGAUGUUAUUGCAAGUGAAGACUGGUGUGCAAAUUAGACAAUAUAUACCUUCUUAGCCCGUUCAUCACGAUCAGCAACAUCUUUCUUCUUAGCCAUAUCCUUAUCAGAACCCUAAGGAGAAAAUGUUGUAUCAAAAGGUGAUUAUAAAUUACCUAGAACCUAGAUGAGGCCUGUAAAGGAUGAAAAAAGAAUGAAACAUGUUACAAUAGCCAAAACAAGCUUACCAGCUUGACAAAUACAUCACCAUUUCCUUUCUUCAACGAGAGCUGUUGCAUGGACUGCAACUCCCUAUCAAUUUCAACUUUUCUCUCUUCGGUCUUCAAUGCAAGUAGUGCUUUUCGCUUCUCCUCCCUUAUCUUCUCAUACUCCUCCAGAGUCAUCUCCUAUACAAUCCAAUUCAACAAGGCAAGGGAAAAAAUGUCUGUACCAAGUUAGUAAUUACAAAAUUAAGUCCAAAAUCACACUCUGGCAUGAAGAAAAAAGAAAAGCAAAAAAAAUAUACGAGAAAUGGUGGUAAUAAGCAUUUUCAAUGAUGUUUUCCAGAAUCAUAAAUUCUUUUUAAAAUCAUUCACCCUAAGGUUUCUGCGUGUGGGAAGAUCUGAGAGAAAUUAUUCACUAUGCCAAACAUGAUUGCUUGACAUGUGGAACCACAGGAUCACAAUUUCCAUUGACCACUAUGCAGAAUGUGCACAGAAUCACGUGAACCUACAAAAAGAGGUUGGACCAUGUUAUGAGAAAGAGUUGACAUGUUGCUCUUUCUGUACCCAAACAGCAUUAGAACAGUGAAGUUGGAUUCCUGCCCUGAACCAGGUUUUCCAGUUGCAUGAAUCAAGCUUAAACAUCCCAGACAUCCCAGAAAACCAAUGAAUGGUAUUCUGGAAAAGAUAAUCUUACAGCAUCAUGGGUGCGUCGGUCUCUGUAUACCAGUGGCAAGUAACCCUGUGAAGGACUCAUACUUCAAAAAUUAACACCAAAAUUCACAAACAUCCAGUAAUAACCAUUUGAAAACUCUCAAAGGAAAGCUGUGUGGAAGACAUGGCUUAGAGCUAUUUAGAUUCUCUUUGAACAACUAUAGUAAAUCAUAUAUAACCAUCAACUUAAAGGUAUGAAUGGAGCAGCACUUUUAGGUCAAAAUCCAAUUGUAAGAUAAACAAAUAAAAUCCUUGAUCCAUCUUUCAUCACAAAAGAAAAAGAAAAGGAAAAAGAACUAGAUUGGAAAUUGAUGAUAUACAUAUACAACGUAUUGAAUAUUAUAUGUAUGGCAGUUUCCCGAAUCGAUACAUGAUAGAGGUGCAUGUCAAAACCUUGAAAUUGCCAUAAUGAACGGAAUAUCUAUUGGCUGGGUGAAAUUGAAUGCUUGCAGAAACUUUUGUUUGUGUUGUGCCUUAACCCAUGCAAGACCUUUUGGAACAGCCAUAACAACCACAAUUACAGAGAGUUUAACCCAAACUCCCAAAUUAAACAGAACUGCUUAUAAACAAAUAAUUUCUCCCAAGGCUCUUGUCACAAGCAGCAACAUAAGUUGCUCAUGCACAAGAUGAACCACAGGAGGCUUUAUCUAUGCCUGCAACGGAACUGAGUAGCACAGAAGAGCAUCCCAACAAGCCACCCAAUUCUCUCAAAGGCAAGUAGGAACAGAAGUGAUGUUUGACAUUAUAUUUAUACACAACAGGGUAUAAUUGGGUUCAGGAUAGGAGCCAAUAAAAACUGUAACAGGGUCUAAUCUCUAGUCAGAAGAUCCUAACUGCUAGUUACAGAAUUGAAUUACUAAAAAACAAUCUUAAAUUUCACUCUAUCAAAAAGAUACUUAUCCAGUAUAUGCAUCAGCAAUAGACAACCAGAAAUUUUACCUAAAAUCCCAAAAAAUGGAAUUGCAUUACAAUAUAUAGGUAAAAGACUUAUAGAGGUUCUUUUGCAAGCAAAAGCAUAAUAGCCAAUACAUUUUUAAAAAACAAAUUAGUUAGAGAUGAUUACAAAAUACAUAGGUGAAAGAUUUCCAAAGGCCCUUCUUGCAAGCAACGACGUAGCUUGCUCCCACACAAUUGAACAUAUGAAGGCCUUGGAAGGUUUUAUUUAUGCCUGCAACGGAACUGAGCAACACAAAAGUGCAUGAAAGCAAGCCACCCAGUUCUCUCAAAGGCAAGAAAAGAACAGAAUUCUGGCUUAUCCGUAUAUUUGUAAAUGGUAAGGGAAUUGCAGCAGCGGCUCAUCCCUAUAUUUGUAAAUGGCAAGGGAACUAAUUGGAACAGGUAAACACAGCAUAGCUUAGAAGAUUCUACUGUGCUUAUAAUAUAAAUCUAUUAUAUGCAGCACGUGCAAACACACAUGGAGAUCUCUCAAUAGGGCUGCAAACAGGCCGGGUUGGGGCAGGCCUGCAAACGGGCGGAGCUGGGGCUGGCCACACCUCUAACUGAGCCCGGCCCAAUUUUUUGGGCUUUGGGCCAGGCUUAGGCCCGAAAAUAUUUUGAAAACUCCAACCCGAGCCUGGCCCAAACCCAAUUGGGCUAGCCCGAAUUACUUGUUUGGUCCAAAAACUAGGCUGGCCUGAACACCAAAAAAAACUUUUGAUUGACACCUCCAAAAAAGUUAGUUAUAAUUCAAUAUCCAGCUUAUAGCCCAGCCAUAAGUUCUAAUGCAGCCGUCAAAUUAAGGCUAAUAUAAAAUAAAUGAAACAUCCAACCAAUCAAACAUACUCUGAUGCCC
rnacentral:lncRNA from 1 species